ACAAGACAGAAGAAGACUAGGUCUGUCAAGGCUAUACAGAAACUGUCCAACACUUGGACUUUGCACUGUUGCUGAAUGUGGUUAUUAGCUCCGAGAGUUUUUUUUUUAAUAUUUUGGGGUUUUCUUUAUAAAGGAUAGAUCAUCUACAAAUACUUCUUGCUUUUCAAUUUAGAUGAUGUUUCCUUUCCUGCCCAAUUUAUCUGGUUAAAACGUCUGAUACACUGUUGAAUAGAAGAGGCAAGGGCACAUGUUCAUGUCUUGUUCCUGAUAUUGGGAGAAAGCAUCCCGUUUUUCACCACUCUGGCCAGGACAGCCUAUCUGUGCAGGAGGCAUUGCUGGCACCCCGUGGGGACUGAGGACCAAGGAGGAGCUGCUCCCCCACACACGGUUCGUACUUCUGCUCUGUGAAGAGAGACAACUGUGCCCUGUCACCUUCACUGAACUAUGAGAAACGGGGUUUCACCAUGUUAGCCAAGAUGGUCUCGAUCUCCUGACCUCGCGAUCCGCCCGCCUUGGCCUCCCAAAGUGCUGGGAUUAUGCAUUCUCUCUUUACAUCACAAUGACCAUGACCUUGGAUAUGGAGUCCACUCAAAAGUAAUCUGAACUAAUAAACAAAUUCUGCAAGGUUGAAGAAUACAAGGUCAAUAAAAAUAAUUAAUUAUAUUUCUAUGUGAUACAAUAAACAAUCUUAAAAUUAAGAAAAAAAAUUCAUUUACAGUAGAAUAACAAAAAAAUACUUAAAAAUAAGUUUAAUCGUGAGAUACAAAUUGGUACCCUGAAAACUACAAAACAUUCCUGAACAAUAUUAAAGGUCUAAAUAAAUGGAAAA
rnacentral:lncRNA from 1 species